GACGAACGCUGGCGGCGUGCUUAACACAUGCAAGUCGAACGGAAAGGCCCUGCUUGCAGGGUACUCGAGUGGCGAACGGGUGAGGAACACGUGGGUGAUCUGCCCUGCACUUCGGGAUAAGCCUGGGAAACUGGGUCUAAUACCGGAUAGGGGCCAUUUUUAGUGUGAUGGUUGGAAAGUUUUUUCGGUGUAGGAUGAGCUCGCGGCCUAGCAGCUUGUUGGUGGGGUAAUGGCCUACCAAGGCGGCGACGGGUAGCCGGCCUGAGAGGGGGGACGGCCACAUUGGGACUGAGUAACGGCCCAGGCACCUACGGGGGGCGGACGUGGGGAAUAUUGCACAAGGGGCGCAAGCCUGAUGCAGCGACGCCGCGUGGGGGAGGACGGCCUUCGGGUUGGAAACGCAGUUCGCUAGGGACGAAGCUUUUUGUGACGGUACCUAGAUAAGAAGCACCGGCUAACUACGUG
rnacentral:rRNA from 1 species